AUCAGCAUCGGCGCGACAGGUUCCCCGAAAGGGGAUGAAAAGGGAAGUCGGGUGGAAGGCUCGCGCUGCCCCUGCAACUGUAAGCGGCGAGCGAUCCGGCCAUCACGCCAUUGGGACAAGGUUCCGAGAAGGCGGCCGGGAAGCAUCGACCCGUGAGCCAGGAGACCUGCCUGACGCAGUCGUUCUUC
rnacentral:ncRNA from 2 species